CACGUAGGCUGUUAUGUAAGUCGGGGGUGAAAUCCUGGAGCUCAACUCCAGAACUGCCUUCGAUACUGAAGAUCUCGAGUCCGGGAGAGGUGAGUGGAACUCCGAGUGUAGAGGUGAAAUUCGUAGAUAUUCGGAAGAACACCAGUGGCGAAGGCGGCUCACUGGCCCGGUACUAACGCUGAGGUGCGAAAGCGUGGGGAGCAAACA
rnacentral:rRNA from 1 species